AUUGAACGCUGGCGGCAGGCUUAACACAUGCAAGUCGAACGAGUGGCGGACGGGUGAGUAAUGUCUGGGCAACUGCCCGAUGGAGGGGGAUAACUACUGGAAACGGUAGCUAAUACCGCAUACCAUCGGAUGUGCCCAGAUGGGAUUAGCUAGUAGGUGGGGUAAUGGCUCACCUAGGCGACGAUCCCUAGCUGGUCUGAGAGGAUGACCAGCCACACUGGAACGGAGACACGGUCCAGACUCCUCCGGGGGGCAGCAGUGGGGAAUAUUGGACAAGGGGCGCAAGCCUGAUGAAGCCAUGCCGCGUGGGUGAAGAAGGCCUUCGGGUUGUAAAGUACUUUCAGCGAGGAGGCGUUACUCGCAGAAGAAGCACCGGCUAACUCCGUGCCAGCAGCCGCGGUAAUAC
rnacentral:rRNA from 1 species